rnacentral:rRNA from 1 species
CAGCCGCCGCGGUAAUACGUAGGGCGCAAGCGUUAUCCGGAAUUAUUGGGCGUAAAGAGCUCGUAGGCGGUUUGUCGCGUCUGCCGUGAAAGUCCGGGGCUCAACCCCGGAUCUGCGGUGGGUACGGGCAGACUAGAGUGAUGUAGGGGAGACUGGAAUUCCUGGUGUAGCGGUGAAAUGCGCAGAUAUCAGGAGGAACACCGAUGGCGAAGGCAGGUCUCUGGGCAUUAACUGACGCUGAGGAGCGAAAGCAUGGGGAGCGAACAGGAUUAGAUACCCGAGUAGUCCCUGUCUUUUAUAC